rnacentral:rRNA from 1 species
AGUGAACGCUGGCGGCAGGCCUAACACAUGCAAGUCGAGCGGCAGCGGGUUCCCGCGAGGGGAUGCCGGCGAGCGGCGGACGGGUGAGGAACACAUCGGAAUCUGCCUGGUUGUGGGGGAUAACGUAGGGAAACUUACGCUAAUACCGCAUGAGACCCUGAGCCGACGGACUGGGGGUGAAAGUGAGGGACCUUCGGGCCUCACGCGACCAGAUGAGCCGAUGUCGGAUUAGCUAGUUGGCGGGGUAACGGCCCGCCAAGGCGACGAUCCGUAGCUGGUCUGAGAGGAUGAUCAGCCACACUGGGACUGAGACACGGCCCAGACUCCUACGGGAGGCGA